CUCUCACAUUCACCUCAGAGCUAAACUCCAAAACACUGACACUUUUUUAUUAAUUAGAUCCGAAGAUCACAC